rnacentral:rRNA from 1 species
GUGGGGAAUCUUAGACAAUGGGGGAAACCCUGAUCUAGCCAUGCCGCGUGAGCGAUGAAGGCCUUAGGGUUGUAACGCUCUUUCAGCUGGGAAGAUAAUGACGGUACCAGCAGAAGAAGCCCCGGCUAACUCCGUGCCAGCAGCCGCGGUAAUACGGAGGGGGCUAGCGUUGUUCGGAAUUACUGGGCGUAAAGCGCACGUAGGCGGAUCAGAAAGUCAGAGGUGAAAUCCCAGGGCUCAACCUUGGAACUGCCUUUGAAACUCCUGGUCUUGAGGUCGAGAGAGGUGAGUGGAAUUCCGAGUGUAGAGGUGAAAUUCGUAGAUAUUCGGAGGAACACCAGUGGCGAAGGCGGCUCACUGGCUCGAUACUGACGCUGAGGUGCGAAAGCGUGGGGAGCAAACAGGAUUAGAUACCCUAGUAGUCC